rnacentral:tRNA from 2 species
GCGGGGAUAGCUCAGUUGGGAGAGCGUUAGACUGAAGUUUACUUCGAUCAGGAUAAGCCCAUCCGGGUUAUCUAAAGGUCGCUGGUUCGAUCCCGGCUCACCGCA